UACGUAGGGCGCGAGCGUUGUCCGGAAUUACUGGGCGUAAAGAGCUCGUAGGUGGUUUGUCGCGUUGUCCGUGAAAACUCACAGCUUAACUGUGGGCGUGCGGGCGAUACGGGCAGACUGGAGUACUGCAGGGGAGACUGGAAUUCCUGGUGUAGCGGUGGAAUGCGCAGAUAUCAGGAGGAACACCGGUGGCGAAGGCGGGUCUCUGGGCAGUAACUGACGCUGAGGAGCGAAAGCGUGGGGAGCGAACAGG
rnacentral:rRNA from 1 species